AUUCCAUUAUGGUACUGAAGCUUCAAGAGCUGAUUCAGAAAGGCACCAAGUUAGUUUUGGAACAAGUUGUGACAUCCAUUGCAUCAGUUGCUGAUACUGCAGAAGAAAAAUUUGUCCCCUACUAUGAUUUAUUUAUGCCAUCACUGAAGCACAUCGUUGAGAAUGCGGUUCAAAAAGAACUGAGACUUCUGAGAGGAAAAACUAUUGAAUGCAUUAGCCUCAUUGGUCUGGCUGUUGGGAAGGAAAAAAUCUUCAGAAAAUAAUUACCAAGGACCAUUGGCCAGUGUGUUUCUCAGCCAACAUCUCAGAAUUGUUCAAGCUAAUGCAAAAGAAGUUUCUCUGUCAUUGAACCCUCAUGUUCUGACCCUCAGAAUUAUCAACAGGGAAGCUCUGUCUUGCCUUCUUCAAAACCAGCAUCAGUAUUAAUUUAUAUUUGGAACUGGUUUCUGUGAGACGCUGACCACUAAAACAUUG
rnacentral:sRNA from 1 species